AAGUGCUCGCCACUAAUUGUCGGCGCUAAGAACUCUGCUGCCGUAGGCCCUAGUGGUUUAUAGUUCAAAGCGAAGACAACCUCUGAAGUGUGCCUAUGGAAGAGGCUAACAACGAGAGCGCGACCGUUGCGCCCUAUAUGCCUUACGGACGACGGGCGAGACCCUUCCGUGGAAUGUUUCGACGCUUGUGCCGCACAGACUGGAGAGGGAAUCGUU
rnacentral:lncRNA from 1 species